UAUUAAAAGUUUCAUCCAUUUCUACAGUUAAAAACUUACAUGAUUAACAAAAUAACGAAACAGCAACAUGUGUACCUCAUACUGACAUAUAGGGACCAGUUUUUAAUAGUAAAAAUGGAUGAAAUUUUAACA
rfam:Gossypium hirsutum cultivar TM-1 unplaced genomic scaffold scaffold104.1, whole genome shotgun sequence